GCUAUUUAAACCAUAUGCCAAUGUUGGCAGAAGAACUUGCGGGUAGAACUACAAUUGAAGACCAUAAUGUUGGCAAUUAAAAGGAAGUUCCUGGUCUGGAGGAAGGAUCUGGCCUACUCCGCUCACAUUAUUGGUCCAAAUUCUUGGGAAUAAGACAUUUUCUGAGAAUAUAUAUGACAAGGUUGUCCAUCUUUACAAUAAAGCCAACUUUCCUCCCAGGGCAUUUUACUGCUUAGAUCUCAGCCUCACUGAAAGCACACAUAUGGAGACACAGAAAGCCUCAAGCACAGUCACCAGUGUUGGCUAACUGGUAUUAUUCCUGGACUGGAGACAAAGAAGAGCAGACCAGAACAUCACACCACAGUUCUGAGGUCUUCAGUCAUGUGCCAUUGCCAUGGAAGCCUUCCCUGCACACCUGGGAGGGAUUAGCUGUCAACAUAGUUGUUGUGCAUGAAAUCCUGAAGCCUGGCUGACAGGGAUGAAAGUCAUUAAGUUUGAGUAGUGACACCUCCUUCCAACCCAAGAUGUUUUUUACAUCCAAGUUGGGAGACUGUUUGCAACCUAAUGUAAAACUUACAUUUUUUUGGUGGUGAUUGAGGAACAUCAGCUGGAGAAAGUGAUCAGGUCAGUUUCAAGGGAAGUAAUUAGCACAUACACUGCAGCAGGGGAAUCCUUCCAACCUCAGUCACUAGCACUGUGCAAAUGGUUUGCAGCUCGAAAAAUCAUUGUUUAUCAUGGGCCGAAAGGUUUUCAAGCCAAGUAAUAAAACAGAAUAGCUCUUGUAGUCCUACCUGUCC
rnacentral:lncRNA from 1 species